UCAACACAUGAUCUGUUGUUGUAGGGACAAAACCUGUACAUCUGUGGAAUGGUGCGGGGCAAGGCGGGAAACGGAAAGCCUCCGCAGAAGCUGAUGCCAGUGGCCUUCCUCUGAAGCGCAGCUAUGUGCAAAGCCAGGGGAGGAGCACGGAGUGUGGCACAGCACCCAAGAGAGCAGCAGUGACCAGCUCGGAUGUGCCGAAGGACAUCACGGACAUCCAGGGUUU